GGAUGUGGGGCUGGGUGUCUAGACUGGGGCCCUGGUUGCAGGCUCUGAGAGCAGCAGAUCUCAGUGUCACCUCCAUCAUUUACAGGCAAAGAAAGGACGGAACUUGGCUCUCUGGCUUGGUGUCGGCACUUUACUGGCUGAGAUGUCUCACGGGCCCACCAUCACGUUUUUCUG